rnacentral:rRNA from 1 species
UAGGGAAUAUUAGUAAUGGGCGAAAGCCUGAACUAGCAACGCCGCGUGUGCGAAGAAGGCCUUCGGGUUGUAAGCCACUUUUGAAAGGAAGAGGAAAGACGGUACUCCCAGAAUUAAUCCUGGCCAACUACGUGCCAGCAGCCGCGGUAAAACGGAGGAGGCGAACGUUAAUCGGAAUUACUGGGCGUAAAGCGCGUGUAGGUGGUUUGGUAAGUAGGGCGUGAAAGCUCCUGGCUCAACUGGGAGAGGCCGUUCUAAACUGCCGAACUAGAGGAUGGUAGAGGGAGGUGGAAUUCCGGGUGUAGCGGUGGAAUGCGCAGAUAUCCGGAGGAACACCAGUGGCGAAAGCGGCCUCCUGGACCAUUCCUGACACUCAGACGCGAAAGCUAGGGUAGCGAACGG